UUCCUCGUCUUCGCUAUAAAUGCCCGUCCACUGGCACUCAAAGAGAAGAAACCACACCAUUGUUUCGGCGGCGGGGCAGAAAGCUUCGACUGGAGAUCGUCUCGGCGGAAUUCCUCCUAUUCGAGCUAUUUGGUGAUUUUGUACAGUUUGGGCUUGGCUUAAAUCUAGUUGGGGGAUUAAUAUCACUUCUUUGAUGAUUUUUUUGGGGGCAAAUGUGGGUUUAGAGUAAUUGCCUAUGGACGGUCAAGUGCUUGAUACGAAGCAGGUGCAUCCGCACAAAACAAUGUCAUAAGCUAAAGAGACCACAAUCCCUCCUUGAAAGCAAUCAAUUUAGAGGAGAAUACACUUGGUAGCAUACAUUUUGACAAGCUGCUUGCUUCCCUUUGUUUUAUUAUUAUUUGCAGAGAAAAUUGCCUUUCCAAUGUACAUCAGCACAAAACAAUGUCAUAAGCUAAAGAGAUACCACAAUCCCUCCUUGCGAGCAAUCAAUUUUGAGGAGAAUACACUUGGUAGCAUACAUUUUGACAAGCUGCUUGCUGCCUUUUGUUUUUGUAUUAUUUGCAGAGAGUAUCACUAGUUGAGGAGGGUACACUAGUUGGCAUUCACUUUAAAGUUACUGCUGCCUCUUUAUCUCUCAGCAACACGUGACUUCAUGAAUUUCUGACUGCAAAUUUUGAUCAGUA